GCACAAGCAGUGGAGUAUGUGGUUUAAUUCGACGCAACGCGAAGAACCUUACCAAGUCUUAACAUCCCUUGACAGACAUAGAAAUAUGUAAUCUCUUCGGAGCAAGGAGACAGGUGGUGCAUGGUUGUCGUUAGCUCGUGUCGUGAGAUGUUGGGUUAAGUCCCGCAACGAGCGCAACCCUUAUGGUCAGUUACUACGCAAGAGGACUCUGGCCAGACUGCCGUUGACAAAA
rnacentral:rRNA from 1 species